rnacentral:rRNA from 1 species
ACUCCUACGGGAGGCAGCAGUAGGGAAUCUUCCACAAUGGACGCAAGUCUGAUGGAGCAACGCCGCGUGAGUGAAGAAGGUUUUCGGAUCGUAAAGCUCUGUUGCUGGCGAAGAAGGAUAGAGGUAGUAACUGGCCUUUAUUUGACGGUAAUCAACCAGAAAGUCACGGCUAACUACGUGCCAGCAGCCGCGGUAAU